rnacentral:tRNA from 1 species
AGAAACUUAGGAUUAAAUUAAACCACUGACCUUCAACGUCACAAACAAGGGAUAAACCCUUAGUUUCUG